rnacentral:rRNA from 1 species
GAUGAACGCUGGCGGCGUGCCUAAUACAUGCAAGUCGAGCGAACAGACGAGGAGCUUGCUCCUCUGACGUUAGCGGCGGACGGGUGAGUAACACGUGGAUAACCUACCUAUAAGACUGGGAUAACUUCGGGAAACCGGAGCUAAUACCGGAUAACAUGUUGAACCACAUGGUUCAACAGUGAAGGACGGUCUUGCUGUCACUUAUAGAUGGAUCCGCGCCGCAUUAGCUAGUUGGUAAGGUAACGGCUUACCAAGGCAACGAUGCGUAGCCGACCUGAGAGGGUGAUCGGCCACACUGGAACUGAGACACGGUCCAGACUCCUACGGGAGGCAGCAGUAGGGAAUCUUCCGCAAUGGGCGAAAUCCUGACGGAGCAACGCCGCGUGAGUGAAGAAGGUCUUCGGAUCGUAAAACUCUGUUAUUAGGGAAGAACAAAUGUGUAAGUAACUAUGCACGUCUUGACGGUACCUAAUCAGAAAGCCACGGCUAACUACGUG